UAGAAGAAGUCUAGUUCAUGAGACCUUAGUUUCUUACCGUGUAAACCGGGGACAAAGAAAGUUACAACUAUUAUCCCUUUUCCUUCAUUCCUACCAGUCUGACUCUCUGCAACUGAAGCCGAACAAGGAAAUGAAGGCAAAUCUCUCACUCGACUUAAUCGCCGACAUCCUCAGCCGUUUACCCGUUAAGCAUCUUCUAUGCUUGCGAUGCGUUUCCAAGCUGUGGCGAUCUUUGAUCGACGAUCCCGAUUUCAUCCAUCUGCACCUCCGCCACUCCCUCGACUCCCGCACUAACCACACCCUCAUCCUCAAAAACACCGAUCUUCAUACCGCCGAUCUCGCCUCCCUCGGCCCUUUCGCCAAGCUGGAACACCCUUUGAUGAGCUACAACCAUGGCGUCGAGAUCCAGGGUUCUUGCAACGGCUUGCUCUGUAUCCGUAACAUAGUUGAAGACAUGGCUAUUUGGAACCCUUCCACUAGGAAGUACCAAGUUUUACCUUUUCUCAAUUCUUGCAAGGGUUACGUCUGCGGAUUCGGGCACGACCCGAUUGCCGAUGAUUACAAGGUGGUUAAAAUUAUUCAGCUGGGUGGGGCUGAUGGUAAGCCUUUGGAAUCGGAGGUUAAAGUAUGCAGCUUGAAGAGAAAUAGGUGGAGGAAAAUUCAAGAUAUCCCUUGUGUUUCUUCCUUCCCUGUAGCCAAUGGGGUUUUUUCUAGUGGUGCUUUACACUGGGUUCUCACUCAAAAACUUGAUCUUUCGGAGGAAAAUACGAUUGUUGCGUUGGAUUUAGCUACUGAAAGUUUCAGGGAAGUGCCUCAACCGGAGUACGAAAGAAUGAUAAAUCAAUUGAAUGUUGGAGUAUUGGGAGGAUGUUUAUGUGUGGUAGCUAAUCAUGGUGAUGCUCGAGUUGAUCUUUGGGUGAUGAAGGAAUAUGGGGUGAAGGAGUCUUGGACUAUACUAUUUUCUCUUGUAAGUGAAGAUGUGAUUGGUUCAUUGAGGUUUCUCAAACCUCUGGCUUACUCUAGGUGUGGUAAUCAAGUUUUGUUGGAACAUGAUAAGAUAAAUCUUUUCUGGUAUGAUUUGGAAAAGAAGAAAGCUGAUGAUGUCUGGGUCCCUGGUAUGCCCUUUUCCUAUGAAACUGAGGUUUGCUUGCAAAGCCUUGUUUCACUUAAUGUCAAGAGAAGGCAGCAAAAUGGAGAGGAUAAUAGGGAUUUCAAAAAGAUGGAUGAUUUCCUAUCAGAGGGGUUCAAAUUAGUGUUAUAGUCAAGUGGGAAAAAGAAGGAAAAAGGAUUGUUGGCCCUUGGUUCCUAGAUGAACUUGUCAUAAGGGUGCAAUUUAGUAAGUUACUCGUCAACUCUAUUGAAACAUCAAGAAUGUGCACUGGUCUUCUGGAGUGGAAGGUACCAAAAGUCCUAUCUUGGUUUCUUACCAGCUAGAAGUCUGUAAUUCUCAUAUCACCUCCAAAGGCAAUUCAAAAACAUUCUUGAAAGCGCAUCUGUCAUUUCUUUCACUCCGGUACCGUGUAGAGUUUGACUGCUUUUUGAACGAGGAAGUGAUGACAUGCUAUUCGAAGAAAGACAAGGCUGAGUUCCAAUUCUCUUAGGGUUCUAGAAUUAAUGCAACUCAAAGCUAGGUAGUAGUAAUCAAUCAGAUUGCUUUCUUUUACUUUAGCUCCCGAGUUUCUGGCUCUGUUAUAUUUUUCCGCAGCAUGUUUUGCUGGGUGUUUUUUGGGUGAAAUACUGUUGUUUAAAGCAGAAGGAUUGAUGUUAGAUAAAAUUUCAGACCUUGUUAAUAUAUAUAGAUAUGCUUAUCUGUA